AGAGUUUGAUCCUGGCUCAGGAUGAACGCUGGCGGUAUGCUUUACACAUGCAAGUUUAACGAGAAUUUUAAAAAUUUUAGUAGCGUACGGGUGCGUAAUAUAUGAGAAUUUACCCUUAGGAGGGGAAUAACAUUUAGAAAUAAUUGCUAAUGCCCUAUACAGCUUUAAUCAAGUGAAAUGAAUAAUAUUCGCCAAAGGAAAAGCUCAUGCCUGAUUAGCUAGUUGGUGAGGUAAUUACCCACAAAGGCGAUGAUCAGUAGCUGGUUUGGGAGGAUGAUCAGCCACACUGGGACUGGGACACGGUCCAGACUCCUACGGAAGGCAGUAGUGGAGAAUUUUCUGCGAUGAGCGAAAGCUAGCGAAUCGAUAAAUUUACUCUAAAUUCGGAUUGUAGGCUG
rnacentral:rRNA from 1 species